rnacentral:rRNA from 1 species
GUAUUGGCCUACCGUGGCAAUGACGGGUAACGGGGAAUUAGGGUUCGAUUCCGGAGAGGGAGCCUGAGAAACGGCUACCACAUCUAAGGAAGGCAGCAGGCGCGCAAAUUACCCAAUCCUAAUACAGGGAGGUAGUGACAAGAAAUAACAAUACAGGAUUUUAACAGUUUUGUAAUUGGAAUGAGUUGAGUAUAAACCCCUUUACAAGUAUCAAUUGGAGGGCAAGUCUGGUGCCAGCAGCCGCGGUAAUUCCAGCUCCAAUAGCGUAUAUUAAAGUUGUUGCAGUUAAAAAGCUCGUAGUUGGAUUUCUGUUAAUAAUUUAUAUAUAAUAUUUAACAUAUUUAUAUAAUAUUAACAUAAUUCAUAUUACUAUUUAUAGUAUAUGAAACUUUACUUUGAGAAAAUUAGAGUGCUUAAAGCAGGCUUUUGCCUUGAAUACUAGAGCAUGGAAUAAUAUUAAAGAUUUUUAUCUUUCUUAUUGGUUCUAAGAUAGAAAUAAUGAUUAAUAGGGACAGUUGGGGGCAUUUGUAUUUAA